rnacentral:lncRNA from 1 species
AUAAAAAGAAAGCAUGAUCGGUGCUCGCGGACCAGUUGGCCGACGGCUAAAAUCCUGGAUUUUUUGAGGAUUGUUUGAUUUAAAUGAUUUACGAUUGGGAAAUCCGCUGCCGAUUAAUCGACAGUCAACCGACCGACAAGCGCUGAGCGCGAUCCACAAAGCGCAAGACGCGGCCCUGGUGAUGCAAAAAAAGGCUCGGUCACGACCAAACUGACCGACCCAAGACCUUUGGCCGAUAGGACGCAAGCCGUUGACUCGCCCCCGUGUUUGCUGGUGACGAAAGUCCCCUCAACACAACAACCAAUACAAAAUCAAAACGAUCGGUG